rnacentral:tRNA from 1 species
GCGGGUAUAGUUCAGUGGUAGAAUGUGAGCUUCCCAAGCUUAAGAUACGGGUUCGAUUCCCGUUACUCGCU